AUCUACUGCCAUACUACCCUUAACGCGCCCGAUCUAGUCUGAUCUUGGAAGCUAAGCAGGGUCAGGCCUGGUUAGUACUUGGAUGGAAGACUGUGUGGGAAUACCGGUGGCUGUAGGCU
rnacentral:rRNA from 1 species